rnacentral:rRNA from 1 species
UACGUAGGGUGCAAGCGUAAAUCGGAAUUACUGGGCGUAAAGCGCACGUAGGCGGCUUUGUAAGUUAGAGGUGAAAGCCCGGGGCUCAACUCCGGAAUUGCCUUUAAGACUGCAUCGCUAGAAUUGUGGAGAGGUAAGUGGAAUUCCGAGUGUAGAGGUGAAAUUCGUAGAUAUUCGGAAGAACACCAGUGGCGAAGGCGACUUACUGGACACAUAUUGACGCUGAGGUGCGAAAGCGUGGGGAGCAAACAGG